AUUGAACGCUGGCGGCAGGCCUAACACAUGCAAGUCGAGCGAGCGGCGGACGGGUGAGUAAUGUAUGGGGACUGCCCGAUAGAGGGGGAUAACUACUGGAAACGGUAGCUAAUACCGCAUACUAUCGGAUAACCCAUAUGGGAUUAGCAAGUGGGUGAGGUAAUGGCUCACCAAGGCGUCGAUCCCUAGCGGGUCUGAGAGGCUGAUCAGCCACACUGGUACUGAGACACGGCCCAGACUCCUACGGAGGCAGCAGUGGGGAAUAUUGCACAUUGGGCGCAAGCCUGAUGCAGCCAGGCCGGGUGUAUGAAGAAGGCCCGAGGGUUGUAAAGUACUUUCAGCGGGGAGGCGUUACCCGCAGAAGAAGCACCGGCUAACUCCGGGCCAGCAGCCGCGGUAAUAG
rnacentral:rRNA from 1 species